AACGUAGGAGGCGAGCGUUAUCCGGAUUUACUGGGCGUAAAGCGCGUGCAGGCGGUUCGGUAAGUUGGAUGUGAAAGCUCCCGGCUCAACUGGGAGAGGUCGUUCAAUACUGCCGGACUAGAGGGCAGCAGAGGAAGGUGGAAUUCCCGGUGUAGUGGUGAAAUGCGUAGAUAUCGGGAGGAACACCAGUGGCGAAGGCGGCCUUCUGGGCUGUUCCUGACGCUCAGACGCGAAAGCUAGGGUAG
rnacentral:rRNA from 1 species